GAUGAACGCUGGCGGCGUGCUUAACACAUGCAAGUCGAACGAGUCGUGACGACGGAGUCCUUCCGCCGGAAUGCUUUGUUUCGAGUGGGGCGCGGGUGAGUAACGCGUGUAUAAUCUGCCUCAUACAGGGGUAUAACAUGGAAACACGACCUAAUAUCGCGCAACAGUUUAUGCCACCUCACAUUAGGGUGGUAAAAACUUCGGUGGGAUGAGAUGGACUCGCGUUGCAGUAGCCAGUCGGCGGGGUAAGGGACCACCAAAGCGACGCUCGAUAGCCGAGCUGAGAGGAUGACCGGCCACAUUGGGACUGAGACACGGCCCAAACUCCUACGGGAGGCAGCAGUGGGGAAUAUUGCACAAUGGGGGAAACCCUGAUGCAGCGACGCCGCGUGAGUGAAGAAGUAUUUCGGUAUGUAAAGCUCUAUCAGCAGGGAAGAAAAUGACGGUACCUGAGUAAGAAGCCCCGGCUAACUACGUG
rnacentral:rRNA from 1 species